rnacentral:rRNA from 1 species
UCUCGUCUGAUCUCGGAAGUCAAGCAAUCUCGGGCUUGGUUAGUACUUGGAUGGGUGACUGCUUGGGAAUACCAAGUGUGAUAAGCA